rnacentral:rRNA from 1 species
CGACCGGCGGACGGGUGCGUAACGCGUAUGUAACCUACCUUUGACAGGGGGAUAACAUCGAGAAAUUGGUACUAAUACCCCAUAACAUCACCGGAGGCAUCUUCGGUGGUUGAAAACUCAGGUGGUCAGAGAUGGACAUGCGUUGUAUUAGCUAGUUGGUGAGGUAACGGCUCACCAAGGCGACGAUACAUAGGGGGACUGAGAGGUUGACCGGCCACAUUGGGACUGAGAUACGGCCCAGACUCCUACGGAAGGCAGCAG